AUUGAACGCUGGCGGAAUGCUUUACACAUGCAAGUCGAACGGCAGCACGGACUUCGGUCUGGUGGCGAGUGGCGAACGGGUGAGUAAUGUAUCGGAACGUGCCCAGUCGUGGGGGAUAACGUAGUGAAAAUUACGCUAAUACCGCAUACGAUCUAUGGAUGAAAGCGGGGGAUCGCAAGACCUCGCGCGUUUGGAGCGGCCGAUAUCAGAUUAGGUAGUUGGUGGGGUAAAGGCCCACCAAGCCAACGAUCUGUAGCUGGUCUGAGAGGACGACCGGCCACACUGGAACUGAGACACGGUCCAGACUCCUACGGGAGGCAGCAGUGGGGAAUUUUGGACAAUGGGCAAAAGCCUGAUCCAGCCAUUCCGCGUGCAGGAUGAAGGCCCUCGGGUUGUAAACUGCUUUUGUACAGAACGAAAAGGUUUCUACUAAUACUAGGAGCUCAUGACGGUACUGUAAGAAUAAGCACCGGCUAACUACGUGCCAGCCGCCGCCGUAA
rnacentral:rRNA from 1 species